AAAAAUAUUAUUUUUACCCCUUUUUAGAUCUCAGCCUCCUAAAUAUGGCUCCGGUUUCGAAACACCCAAAAAGAAAACAAAAAGGAAAGGACCACCAGCAUUUCAACUACCGAAUCUAUCGCCGGAGAAGAAGCCUCCGACGAUAUAGGCGCCAAACGAUCCCGGUGAGUGUUCUUGAAGCCUUUUCCUUUUUCUUUCUUGUCAAAAUAGAUUCGUAAAAAUAAAAAUAAAAUGAAAAAAAUGAAAAUGGAAAUCAACAAUAAUAUCUAAAUCCACCUUUUUGAACUUCUCUUUUUUUUUAUUUCUCUUCCAAAGAUUUCUUUUUUUGUAUUUCAAAAAUCCCCCCUUUUGAUUACAUUUCAUCCGGCUCGUAUAGCCGAUUUGCACUAGUUAUACUACUGUUCAUAUUAUUGUUUCUUUGCACUGCUAUUGCUUCUUUUUUUGCAGGUGGGGUGAGGUCAAUGGAAGGAUUUUCCAUCUUGGUGCAAGGUAGUACCAGGAGAGCAGACCUCGGGCGGUGGGUGUGCUGACACCGCACAUGGGGGCAACGGCACAAAGGGGCAUUAGGGUUUCUGAAAACUUUAUGUUGUGAGCUUGUAUUUGGGUUUAAUUUAGAUUGUUGGGCCGGGGCAAAUUUGGG
rnacentral:lncRNA from 1 species